UCCAUACCCUGCUCAAACAAGAGUUCAAGAGAGUAAAGAACAGAAGAGGGAAUGCUGUAUCAAUAAGAAUUACAUAAACAGAUGAACUUCUUUCUCCAGCACAGAAUUCAUACCCUUCUUUAUUUGGACAAUUGGAUUACCCUCUCUGAGUCACCAGAGCCAAUGACAUAACUGAAGCAUGCAAUUCACCGGGGAGCACAGUUACCCAAUGGUCAACUUAUCAUGAUAAAAUAAAUUCAAACCUCAUAACAAAAAAGCAUCCUUUCUUCCCUCAUCUUUUUUGCCAGCAUUUGUCAUACUCAAAUGUUUUUUCAGGAGUUAGCUAGUCAAGAAAAAUACCAGUAACUUCUUUAAACAGAAAUGGUGGGAGGGCUGGUGGGAGAUGAAGAAAGUGGGAAUAACAAAAUAUAAAAAGAAUAGGCAUCUAGGCCUUAUUGUCUGUCAGAGGAAGAAAAUCAUACCUCAAAGAUGAUUGCCUCCAAAGUUAACCAACUACGCAGAUAAAAAUAAGCAACUUACGCACUUUAGGCCUAAAGGAGUCAAGACAGCGUGCUAAUGAUCAGGUAGAGGACAAAGGCACUCCUGAAGGGCAAAACUCUGGACAUUAUUUAAUCAUCAUAACCUGCUCCAAGUUUCAGGUCACUGACAAUCACUAUGGUUUGUAGAAUGAUAGAUGCCUACAAGGCACUUCCCCAAAUUCCAUCUCUACUUAAAAUGCAAAUGCUUUCCAAAGCAGUUUUAUCUUUUCAAUUAACUACCUUGUGGGCUCCAAGAAAUUCUUUUGGGUCAGGCUGAACACGAAGGAGAUGAAGGAUAGUGGUAUUGAUAUUGGUUUACUCACCAAUUAUUCUUUAAGGCUGGUCCCUUCCAAAGCUGGACUAACAAAUGGGCAUUUAGUUGAAUUCUUUUUUUCUUUCUUGUUAUUUUGCAAAACUCAAGAAGUAUUAGGAAUCUCUGCUCUGUUUUCAUGAACAAAUUCACUAGGGAAUUAUAAAUAAUGGUGUGGAUUUUGUGAGUCAUACAUCACCACUGGAAAGUAGGUAUUCUGUAAUUCCUUGCUUCUGAGACAUAAGAAUUUCCACCUCUGAAAACGCAGC
rnacentral:lncRNA from 1 species